ACGGGUACAUUUAUUGAUUAUGUGUCAUGUUGUAAAGUAAGGUUGAAAGAGGAGGUGGGGCGUAACAAUAUGCUUUAAGGACAAAAUAAUGCGGGCCGUUUCAAACAUUAGUUGGAAACACCUAACUCUGAUCACAUCUGUAACGCGCAUGCGCAAGUUCUUCCAUCGGGUGCAGCGCGAGGUGAAGUGUGUCCGGGAGCAGAGCGACGUGAACGGGCUGAUACAACCACGGCCACCGGCCCCAAUACUCUGUUCCUGUGGAUGGAGGUUACAUCUGAUGGAGUUUGUCCCGCCUUACACCUGGCGUACUACUCUGAAUAUUUGAACGUACUGUACAUCUUUAAGUUGUUCUUUCUGUACACACCCACUCCUCCACUGUUCACCCUUAAGUGUUGAAGGGAGUUUUAUCUGUGCCGAUGUGAUGGUUUUGGGACAGGAUGCUGCAUGUUUAGACUGUAAAGCUCCCUCAGGCUUAUUUUUCAUUUUGGGUUGAGCAAAAUAAAAUGAAUUGAAUUGAAUUAACUUGUUGACUAGAGGCAUCUGCAACUGAGGGGUGUUCUGCGCAUUCUGAAUCAUUGAGUGACGAUGAGGGAGACGGAGCUGAUUUCAGGUAUACGAUCCGGAUUCAAGUGACUCGGAGCCAGAUCUUGUUACAGAAUCUGAAAAUGAAGUGGAAACUAACUGGUUCAUGUUGUUGCUCCACUUAUAAUUUCAUAGUUUAUUUUCACAAAAUAUAAUUUAUUUAUUUUGUAUAGGAAAAGUGUUUAGUUAUAUAUUGAUAACAACAACAAUAGAAAUUAAUCAAAUUCUGUUGUCCUUGUUAAGGGCUGUUGACAUGAUUGAAACUUGUACUUUUCCAGCGAGCAAUUUUGCCGUUGAAAAGACAUUUAAAAGACGUCCAUGGCCUAACGUUGAAAAGACGUUGCAAAAUGGUUUAAAAGUGAAUGUUGUUUCAACGUCUAUUCGUAGACGUUGAAAAGACGUCUCUGUUUAGACCCGUUUUCAACGUGAUUUUUAAUAUCUGUGGUAAACGCACAAAUGUAGACGUCAUUUCUUUUUACACCUAUAAAAUAAUGCUAUAGCACAAAGUAGAGGACGACAUUUUACCGUAUUAAAUCACGUUGAUAUGUGGUCUAAAUAUAGACGUCUUUUCAAUAAUAAUUGAUAAUAAUAAUAAUGAUAAUUAUGUAUCGGUGUCCUGUUAUUGAUCUUUUGUAUGCAUUUCAGAAAGAAAAAAUGCUUAGGAUUCAGGUGUAAUUGCAAAUAGUGAUUAAUCCUGAUUAAUCCACUGAAAAUUCUGAUUAAUUGGAUUCAAAUUGUUAAGUAUUUGACAGCCUUAAUUUAAACUUAAAAUAAACAAUUAAUCCCGAUAGUCAAAUUAUUUCCUCUUUCAUAGUUUCUACUUCCCCUUCAUCUCAAAUAUUUAUUUAAAUCUUGCAAAUUAUCUCUGCAUUUAUACAACAGGCCAUCAGUAACAUUGUUGGUGAAUAAUUGAAACAAAAUGUCGUAACUUGAUGAUAUUUCAAUAAAGUUAGACAGUUUUCUUC